rnacentral:pre_miRNA from 2 species
GACGGCGACUAGAAUCUUCAACGGCCACGUGUAUACUCAUAGCUAUAACCUGAUAUCCGAAUGUUAUUGCUUGAGAAUACACGUAGUUUAACAAGAUUCGUUCAGCAAUCA